UACAGAGGGGGCGAGCGUUGUUCGGAAUUACUGGGCGUAAAGGGCUCGUAGGCGGCCAACUAAGUCAGACGUGAAAUCCCUCGGCUUAACCGGGGAACUGCGUCUGAUACUGGAUGGCUAGAGAUUGGGAGAGGGAUGCGGAAUUCCAGGUGUAGCGGUGAAAUGCGUAGAUAUCUGGAGGAACACCGGUGGCGAAGGCGGCAUCCUGGACCAACACUGACGCUGAGGAGCGAAAGCCAGGGGAGCAAACGGG
rnacentral:rRNA from 1 species